UAGUUUGAUGGGUGGUGUACGUAUCUCUAGGUCACUGGUAGCUAUGGUAGUUUGCUGGGUGGUGUACGUAUCUCUAGGUCACUGGUAGCUAUGGUAGUUUGCUGGGUGGUGUACGUAUCUCUAGGUCACUGGUAGCUAUGGUAGUUUGCUGGGUGGUGUACGUAUCUCUAGGUCACUGGUAGCUAUGGUAGUUUGAUGGGUGGUGUACGUAUCUCUAGGUCACUGGUAGCUAUGGUAGUUUGAUGGGUGGUGUACGUAUCUCUAGAUCACUAGGUCACUGGUAGCUAUGGUAGUUUGCUGGGUGGUGUACGUAUCUCUAGGUCACUGGUAGCUAUGGUAGUUUGCUGGGUGGUGUACGUAUCUCUAGGUCACUGGUAGCUAUGGUAGUUUGCUGGGUGGUGUACGUAUCUCUAGGUCACUGGUAGCUAUGGUAGUUUGCUGGGUGGUGUACGUAUCUCUAGGUCACUGGUAGCUAUGGUAGUUUGCUGGGUGGUGUACGUAUCUCUAGGUCACUGGUAGCUAUGGUAGUUUGAUGGGUGGUGUACGUAUCUCUAGGUCACUGGUAGCUAUGGUAGUUUGAUGGGUGGUGUACGUAUCUCUCGGUCACU